UCAGGAACAGGUUUGGAUGUUCAUUCCUCUAGAAACCAAUUUGACGAAGAUGAUACUGAGACCACCAAUUCGUUCUCUGGUCCAAUAUCGACACAUAUCUGUAAUGACUCUGCUGGUAUGGAUAAUAUGCUUGGAGAAACUGCUUCUACACAAAAACAAAAGCAAGUCAAGAGAUCUGAGCAGGGUGAGAGUUCCAAAGAAAAUGAUGAAAACAAAGAAAUAUCAUCAGAUAUUGUAUUAUCAAAAUGUGGCCAUUCCAUUCAAGAAGAGAAGAGCAUGACUAUUACAGAAGCAGACAAGAGCAUGGAGAUCGUGUGCAGAGGAUUGGACCAUGCAGACUCUCUAGGUUUGCUACACAUAAACAGCAGAUUACGAUGCAUCGUAAAUUGGUUGGUGAUUGCUUUGAUGAAGCUGCAGCAUCCUCACUCAGAGAGUGGCCAUUACCUCGUCAGGAUCUAUGGUCCACGAAUAAAAUUUGACAGGGGACCUGCACUAGCAUUCAAUGUCUUUGACUGGAGGGGAGAGAAGAUCGAGCCUGAAAUGGUACAAAAGCUUGCAGAUAGAAGCAACAUUUCUCUUAGUCGUGGGUUUCUAAAUAAUAUCUGGUUCCCAGACAAAUAUGAAGCUGAGAAGGACAAAGUCUUGGAGAGAAGAGCCUGUGAAGUAACAGCUGCAAGUAACAAAAGGAAAGGAAGGAGUGAUAUGGGAAUAGAUGUUCUAAAUGCAUCCUUCAGUUUCCUUACUAACUUUGAGGAUGCUUACAGACUUUGGACUUUUAUUGCUAAGUUCCUAGAUGCAGAUUUUGUAGAGAAAGAAAGGCGGAGAUAUUUUACUUUAAACCAGAAAAUGAUCGAGGUGUAAUGUGAACAGGCUGAAUUGUCUACAGUUGACAAUGUUUUCUGCUUGGACUUUCCACAGCAUUGGAAGACAUUCUUUCACCAUGCAACCAUGUUCAGACAAUAAUAUAUUGAUGUAGUAUGGACAACAUCAACUAUUCAUUUUUUUUUAAUUUGGGUUAAAGAAGUAGAUUUGUGAAUAAUUGUUCAUGAGAUAAGAUGCAUUUUUGAAUUGAAUAGUUUCAAGACUGUCACUGAUUAGUUAAGGUAAACUAGAUGCAAGCACAAACAUAAUGUUUACUUCCUCACUACGUUAGUUUGGUUUGUACCUUGAGCUGAAGAAAUAAAUUUGCCAGCUCCAAUGACAACGUUUAAGUUAACAGGGGUAGAAAGUCAACCUACCAUUUUGGGCCGUUCUUAAUGUAAGGUGUAGACAAGCAAUUCGGUUCCAGGACUCCACACUGCAGAGAUAUGCCAGUAAGCAGUAAACUAGGCUUUGCAUGAAACCAGAAGACAACUUGAUUAUAUAAACCAGCAGAGAUGGAUCAAAAAAUAAUCAGAAUUCACACACAAAAGGUAAUUAUAUACACAUUAAACAUAUAAAAUGAGGUUGAAAUAAUUAACAGUUCCAUGUUUCUUCAGAUAGAUAAGAUCAUGUAUGAACAAGAUGUUCAAUGUCAUCAUUAAGUAUCUAAUUCAUAUACUGACCUUUCAGUGGUCAAUGAUUCACAGACGUAAUGGUUCUUCUUAUGCAUACCCCAUGCUCUCAAUUACUGCAAGUUAAUGAAAUAAUAAGCAUGAAUCUAGUUGCUCAAUUUUCUUUCUUGAACAUGCUGAGAAAAGAAACAUGAAGGUUAAUGUAUGCAAUUAUUGAAACACUCAAUCAAACUCCUUGAGUAAAGCAUCGAAAAUGUUCAGACUAAUUAGCAGCCUGGCACAAAAAAUACAGUACUAACUUGUCCAGUCAAUAACAUCGAAUAGUUCAUUUGAACUGCCUGCAUAGCUCAUGGAACAGUAUACAUAUGGGCCAAAGACAUUUUCUUUCUGAUGACAGAUAUCCAGUCUUGCCAAAGCCACCGAAGCUAGUUUGAUUCAUCCACAUUUGAUGGUGUUCUCUUUUUUAUACAAAUCCUUGCCUAAUAGUUUAGUGAGACUUCAAAUUAAUUCAAACUGUGCAUCAGCAGUGUAAAAUCCUACAAUUAGAAUGUCUUAUUUUCGUGACACUAACUUAAGAUGAUGUAAAAGAAUUCCUGCUGCUAAAGUAAUGAUCUUUAGACCCUAAGAACUUGGCAAGUUAUGGCUUUUAACUACUUCUUAAUCAUGGACUCGAAUACGGUGUUGGCACUUGUGCUAAACUGUAGUCAAAGUGGUAUGCUGUACCUUAGUAUACCACUAAAAAUUAUUUACAGAUGUUUAAAAUGUAAUAUCUAUCAGUAUGAUUGAUAGAGGAUAAGCCUUGGUAUCAUGGUAAGGUUGCUUGUAUUUCACAAAGGGUUGAGUAGUGGAAACAAUCUCUGCUCAUGGAAGCAAAGUUGCAUGUUGACAUGGACAGUUGCAACAAGCUCGCACUGGCCCUUUUUUUGUUUGUCCUCACCCUUUCAUGGACAAUCAAAUGUAAAUAUCGAGGCGUGUGACAGUCCAACAAACUCAUUUUGCAUGGAUUUUGCUUGUUCUCCAUUGUACAAGCAGGCCGCAGUGACACGUACUUAGCUGGUUUUGCCUAAGUCGUGCGGCACUCUUGCGCGUCCGUCCGCAAAGGUCAACCUCCCCGAAGCCUCCCAUUGUCCCUUAGGACCAACAAAAGAGAGAACGGGUUAAAGAGAACACCUCAAUCGGGAUCCACAAGCAAACAUGUCCGAAAAACACUUCAUAGACAAUGCAAAUUACAAACAGACUUUACAAGCUCUGAACAGUGGCACAACAAAGGGUAAAAUGGUCCAUUACAGACCGAAAAGCUCUCGCACGUGUCCACAUGACACAACCUUUAUUUACAAGCCUAAAGAGGCCACCAACCCAACUAAAAUGGGACUAUUAUGCCUUCGGCCGCCCCUCUACAUGUUGUACAAGGCAUGAACAUGCCAAAUGUCACGGACAUACAUAAGCAUUACAUCAAACACCCUGUUUCGAAGUUUGUCCGUGACAUUCUCCCCCACUUAUCCCUUCGACGUCCUCGUCGNNNNNNNNNNNNNNNNNNNNACUACGUUACAUCCCGCUUAAGCAUUUUGGUCCGCCGUUGAGGACCAAAAAUGGAGUUAUUGGCCAGUUAGCUCAUCAGACCCGGGUCGUGAGGACCAAAACGGAGUUAUUGGCUAGUUAGCUCAUCAGACCCGGGUCGUGACAUUUGGUAUCAGAGCCGACCUAGCAUUAGGGCAGGGUGAGAGGGCUGCAGUAGGAAAGGGCUACCCGUGGAUGGAGUCAGAGAACUCAUCACGGCGUGGAGCCACCACUGAGUUAAACCUCACAUGCACUGUCGCAUAUUCUUCAAGAGUACCCGCCUCUGCGUCCUCUUGCCCCGUGCUAAGGCCUUCUGAACCCAACUUCGCCUCCGUAAAUUGAGUCGCCUUAGUUCCUCCAUCAAAUGCUUCUCCGAGAUAAGGUGCAUGUGCCCCGAAGCUCCCUUCGUCUUUGGCACCAUGCAAGAUGAGUCCGCUCCGUCAGAAUGAAGGACCCAUGGAACAACAUGAUCCUACUAUUGCCUCUGCAAGAGUUCAUGUCCUUGACCUCUGUCUAAGGAAAGCACUGUGCCUCUGCUCCACGUUCCAACUUCUAUGCUGGCUCCCUUCAUGCGGCUUGGGUACUUCGCCAAGUUACACCCAAGUUGCUCCGCUCCUCGUUUUUGCAUUGAGUCGAUGGUGGCCCUCGUGCCCACCAUUCCACGGGUCAGCCCUUCCUUGAGUCCGAUCUCCACAUCGACUCCAAGUGUGCCUUCAUUUAAGUUGCUUUAGGUCGCUCCCCCACUUGAUCUUGCAAUGCAUCCACCAAUGCAUUCUCUCGAGCGAGAUCAUGUGACAACUCCUCGCCGCUUGCUCAGUCCAUCGAGCUUCGUGGAGUUGUUGUUUGUUGAGGUACUCCUCCUCAACAUGUGAGGUCCGUCUCACAUGAUUCUCCCUCUGGAGAGCCGGGACUUAUCCCUCCUGGAUAACUAUCCCGUUGGAGCAACAUCUCUCUUCGUUUCGGAGACCACCAUCCCCUUGGACUACUCCGAUCUGCUGAACAAACUGUGCAUUGUUCUGCCUCCUGCAAACGCACUUGCUAGAUUGCGGCUCCAUGUCAAUACAGCCCCCGCUGCACCCCUCAAGGCCUAGCAACAUGCUGAACUCGUUGCACACUUUAGCCUCCGACGGACGUAUCCUUCACAUGCCGAAGAGAAAAUUUCGAUGCUCCAUGGCGCCGAGUUUCGGUCGCCUUGGGAUGGCCACGAACAUUCCGUUGUCCGCAUACAAGCCCAUGCAUGAGUACCAAAUUCUUCGAGUUAGCAAUUCCCCUCACCUCUGUGAGCUUUGCAUAACUCUUUUGGUCGUUGAGCAACUCAUUCCACCUUGCAUGGUCUCAUUCUUGCCAAGCGCCUCGCUUGUCUAGAGCACCAUCAAGUAUAGUUGUCAACGUUGAGCCGUAGCUCAAACUCAGCCAUCCCAACCUUUGUGCGCUCCAAAUUCUUCCAAGCUUGCCUGUUCUCGUGGUGCCUCUUGCGUGAAGGGUUGGCCAUUCCUCUGAAUGCCAAUCUCAGAUGCCCGCUCCUCUGAGCGACUCUUUUCCCUACAUCUCCAUGCCCGUUUUCCCUCAAACGAUCGCGCGUGUGCUGACUGCCCUCAACGCAGCCCCGCUAGGUCCCCCACGUUUGCAUGUCAAGUGUUUCUAUGAGUGCUUGUCUGGCUCUGAUACCAUAUGACACGUACUUAGCUGGUUUUGCCUAAGUCGUGCGGCACCCUUGCGCGUCCGUCCGCAAAGGUCAGCCUCCCCGAAGCCUCCCAUUGUCCCUUAGGACCAACAAAAGAGAGAACGGGUUAAAGAGAACGCCUCAAUCGGGAUCCACAAGCAAACAUGUCCGAAAAACACUUCAUAAACAAUGCAAAUUACAAACAGACUUUACAAGCUCUGAACAGUGGCACAACAAAGGGUAAAAUGGUCCAUUACAGACCGAAAAGCUCUCGCACGUGUCCACAUGACACAACCUUUAUUUACAAGCCUAAAGAGGCCACCAACCCAACUAAAAUGGGACUAUUAUGCCUUCGGCCGCCCUCUACAUGUUGUACAAGGCAUGAACAUGUCAAAUGUCACGGACAUACAUAAGCAUUACAUCAAACACCCUGUUUCGAAGUUUGUCCGUGACAGCAGGUUGUUUUGCCAACCUUCAGCAUUUUUGAACUGAAACAAGCCAAAACAACCUUUUUCUGAUCAACCCUUUUCUUGUAAGUUGCAGCAAUGUUUCUGGGCCAUAGACCUAGCAGUAUGAAAUGCCAGACAUCUCCGAACUCCAGAACCUAUAGGUGGCACUGGUAUGGAUAGGGCUUUGAGAUAAGUAGUUGGGGAGCUUUGACAACUUGUGAGACCAUGAGCUGCAUGUGGCGCAAGUGUGAGUCUCCAUCAAGCUUUUCGACACUGGGACUCUGAUGUUGUUCGGAACUGCUGCUGCCUUUUGAAGCUAAAAUAGUUCCCAUCAUGUUCAAUUGCUUGUUUCGUGCAUCUUGUGGAUAGACAAAAACACUUUAUCUAACAUCACACAAGGGGGCAACUAGGCUGACCGUUCGAGGGCAGGUGUCGCUUGUGUGCCUUACAACUUGAGCAAUUCUAGCUAACCUCGCAUUGAUAGAAGCCUGUGCACAGGCCAUCCUUAUCUAUAUGACCGAUACAACAUAUUGGUACAAUAUCAAAUCGCUAUGACCAAUAUGCUACGGCAUCUAGAUCAAUGCUCUUAGCACAAUAAUUUGUCUUUCAAUUGAUGUGCUUGCACUAAGUAGUUGAACUAGCUGAAAUCAAGCAAGAUAGGCAUAGCUCAAGCCUAGAUAAUGCAGUUCAAUUUAGUUCAUUUAUCAUUGAUCCAAGCAGUAGUUGCUCAUGUUAAUCCUACUACUCUUCUGAUUAAGUAUUCAAAAUUGUGUUGACAUAUUUAUGCAUAUAAACACUAGACAUCUAGGUUCUUCUUCAAAUUAUCAUUUGAAAUAGAUUGAGAAAGAAACUGAAGUAGUCAAGAUGCUACAUAUAUUUGUAGGAUCAAAAGGAAAAAACACAGAAUCAGCAUAUUUAUGCAUUGAUAUGUAAUUGUGAAUCAAGUAAAAUAGACAAAAAUUCAAAGCUGACUAACUAUUUUCCAGUCAAUUAACUCCAAGGAAUCUCAUCUAAGACAUUUUAUGCUUUAGAUCAUGCAAAAAAUAGAAGGAAGUCGAGACAUUCAUUUAUUUGUUCUUAACAAAGACACGUACUUAAAUUGAAGCUUGCUCAUUGUCAACAAUUGAUUACAAAUGUACAAAGCUCCGAGCAUGAAGAGGAAGGUUAGGUUCUUUUUUUGAGAAAUCUGGAGAGAAACCCGAUCAGGAAAUUUUUUGUCAAAAGAUGUAAAAUGAUAAAAAGAUGGAAGUAAAGGGGGGAAAAAAAUCAGUGAGAAAGAAAGAAAAAGAAGAGGAACAACAUAUCAAGCACUGUCUUCUAUCCUUCGUUGUUUUGUUGAUCUGAACACAAAUAGCGACAAUUAUAAGACAAUCAGACGUAGUUGUACCGUUUCAAUGCUCGGCCAGCAGAGGCAAAACCCUCGCGAUAGCAUAACAAGCCAAAGAACGUAAUUUCGAAAACAGUGUCGCUUCUUUCCGAGUAGAGUACCACGCUAAGAACGAUUAAAAGAGGCAAGCUGGCUCUACUGAGUUGCGCUGCUGCCAGGCUAAGAUCCGACAGGCGUCAAAACAGCGGAAUCCAACGCGCACAACAAGUGGCAGAAGAGGAGGGUAGAGGGGGAGAAUUUACCCAACUAGAAGAGCGAGAUGCGUCUCCAGUUGCGCUGGUUGUAGCUGAAGCAGAGACGAUCACGCGCCCAAAGAAGCAGCAACGGAGACCGGAAGAGAUCGGAAGGAAGGGAGAGACGACAGGCGAAGCGCUCUAAUUUAUUUUGAUUACUCUCCCAUCACAACCGUCCAUCCUUCCUUUCUUAUAUCUCAACCACCCAUUUGAAG
rnacentral:lncRNA from 1 species